AAGUGUAUUCUUUGUCAUCAGUCAGGUCAUAUUUACCCUCAUCAAGUCUGGCUUAUUUGGAUAGUGAAUUUUGCUUACUUGUCAGAACUGGUGCUCCCUUGGUUAGUAAAGUUUUCCCAGGGUGGGUGGAAAAGUCAUUGUGAUGAUUAUGUGGUUGUAUUGUUUGUUUCAUGUUAUAUGUUGGAAGUGUUUAUCUGGAUGGGUUUUGUUCUGACAGGUUAAUGGCUGGAUUGCAGAGGGAAUGGGUGUGCCUGCAGCCUGCCAGACUCCAUGGAAGCCUGCUGGUAUGAAGCCCAAGAGAGUGAAGACAGGAAGUCUGCCACAUGGGGACAGCAACUGAAAAGGCUGGAGUAGUGGGGCAGAAGCAACUUAUUGAGAGCCAGCAGAGAAGCUGAGACCUCUGGGAAUGAGGAGGAGUUUGCUGCAGAGAUAGUGACAUUUUCUGCCUACCACUGGAAUCCACUGGAAACUAAGAAGUAAGCACUGGCCAGGGUAUCUUCCUGCAUCAUCUGGUACUAACCACCGUCACAGUCAGGGAAAAGGAAUGGGUAUGUUUAGGAUGUUCAAUUACAGAAUUUUUUAAAUUAAUACUACGUAGUAAUUGUAAUGCUCUAUACUCUCAAGGAGCUACCACAAUGUUAGCUAAACCUCAUAAUCUACCUCAUCCAGUGGAACAUUAAUAUGAGUUAUUCCCAGAUUGAGGAAAAUAAAGCAGAUUGUACAA